GAAGAACACAAACUCACAACCAUUAAGGCCUGGCAGUUCCCUGAAGUGAGAGCUCAGCACACAUCCAGAGGCAAUUCCAGCACCUGAAAGGAAGAAGAAAAAGGGACUGUUUCAUCAACCUCUGAAGCUGACAAGCCCAAAGGCUCUGGAGUCUGUCUGCUCUGGAACACAAGGAUACUCCCAGGGAUGAGGCACAUUCCCAGCAAACGCUCCCAACAUGGCACAGAGGCACCACUGGAGCUCGUGUUGGGGCUGGGAAGGGCUGCCAGGAGGACACAGCCCCCAGCUGGGGUGGCAGUGGCAGUGACAGCAGCAAAUUCCCACAGGCUGAUGGCACAACAGAGGGACAAAGGCCAGCAAUGCCACGGCAGCUGCAGGUUUCAUUGUGCUCCCUGUGCUGCCACAUCCCGGCAGGAAAGCUCCAGGGGGGACAGAAACUCCCUGGGUGCACAAAGUGCAGCCUCUGUGCCCCUGAUCCUGCUGGAACUCAGCUGUGGGGCCAGCCCCCAGGGUAAACACUGCCCUGCCUGCAGCAGCCUCAGGCACUGCCCCAUUCUCAGCUCCCCCUGCCCCGGGGCUGCCACCACAUUCCUGACCAGGAGCCAAAGGCCCCUUGGGACAGGGCUCUCUCUGUGUCUCAGCCUUGGGGACUGCAGGGACCAGGCAAGGACAGCCUGAAACCAGGGCAGAUCCCUCUGGGGACAGCUGGGGACUCACCCCACACCACGGGCAGGACCAGGGGCCCUCCAGUGCCGGCUGGAGCCUGUUGGGUUUGGCUGCUCAAACACCAAAGCUUUGGGCAGAGAUGGGAUGAGUUAAGUGGUUUUUCCUGUCCUGAAAGAGAGGAGAAAAUGGAAAUUAGGUCCACUCUGGAAGUCAAAGGCUCCUGGCUUUCCCACUUCUGUUCUGAUUGCCCACUGUGGGGUUCUAUCCAUAAAAAAAUGAGAGGUGACACCACAUAAAAAUACCCCUUGUCAACAUUUUAUUCCCUACUAUUUUAGUACAUAAAAAGGAUGCCAUUUUUUCUUAUUGCAUUCUUUGCCUAAUUUUAACAGAACCAUUUUCAUUCCAGGCUCCACUUUGGGGGUUCCUGAAUCCUUUGCCAUUGGACUUUGGACAAAGGAAGAGAAGGAUCUGUUCCUCACAGGGAUCAUCCAAUGGGGAACAGCCCCUGUGCCAACCCCAGCCUGGGCUGAGCACGCUGCCUCACUCCCCUGUUCUGGAUCCUGGCUCCACUCCAGUCUGAGUUUUCCCCCAUUUUCCAUGCCUAGAGACAGGAAAUUGUCCUGGUCAGGCUGUAAGACCUUCAACUGCACGUUGAUCUGGGGGCUGUGACUGGGAUUCCAGCAGGGAAUUCAUGGUGUUACAAAUAAAAACCAUUCCAGGGAGCGGCACUGACAAGGCUGGGAGCUGCUGCUUCACCACACGGUGUCAGCAACAGAGAGAAAACACAAAAUGUGUAUCCAAAAUCAAGGAUAAAAUUAUUCCUUCUGCUUUUAGUGGGACCAGGGCUAAUUCUGCCCUGGAGUGACAAAGAAUUUCUCCCUCAGACCCCAGAGACCCCUCAAAAAGCCAAAGUGCAGCAGGGAAGGGAGGAAGGAAAGGCACCUCUGCCUCACCUGCUGGGAACAGCACAGGUCCUGCUGCUCCUGGGGACUGGGAAUGUGUCCAGAGCCAAAAGCUCCUUCCCAGGCUGGAGGGGCUUUCCUGAAGCAUCACCUCUGGGAAGCAAAGGGCUAUGGAAGACAUGGAGUGAGAAUUUACAAUAACACUAAUAGUAAUAAUAGUAACAAUUGCAUUAAUAAUAAUAAUAAUAACAAUAACAAUAAUAAUAACAACAACAAUAAGGAAGAGCAGCAAAGAGAGCAACAAUAAUUCCAAGGGAAUUAUUCCAUGCAGGGAGGAUGCUGAGCUUUAAAUGAGGUUUGAGUGAGGCAGCUUCUCCUGGGCUCUCUGAAGCACAGCUCCAGGCCUGGGAUUCCAGGAGCAGGGCAAACUGCCACUGUCCAAUCCCUGGAUUUGCCUCCUGCCAGCACUGGGCACACUGGGCAUGCUUGGCUCCAGUGCUGCUGCCUCGAGGGAUUGGGAAUAUGGGCAUUAAACCCCUUCCCACAGGGCUGGCUCCGAGCUGUGGCUGGGGAAAGCAUUGGGCACCUCUGGCAUUUCCAUGAAAUCAGUUUCCAUCAUUCUGAAGAUACCCUGAAUAAACCCAGGGCACAGAAAUGAACCAUUCUCCAUAAAGACAGCCCCAGGGAACACACAGUCAUUCCUAUGCCUGGCCAAACAAACCAGCAGCCAGUUUUUGGGGUAAGACUCCAGACUCGUCUCCCUCCCUGGCUGUAAAAUGCUUGCAGAGGCUUUGGAGUUCAUACAAGCUUGUCAGGAUUUGGAUAUUACAUUUAAAUUCCAUUUGUAUACUAAGGAAUUUGAAGUCUCCUAAAGGCACCUCCACUCACACUUUAAUUUUAAACCCUCUACCAGUGGUGAAUUUGGAUGUUCUUUUCUUAGGAACACCCCACCUUCCUUAGGGAACUCCAUAUGGGAGAUAAAAUAAAUGUGGACAAUAUUUUGGAAUGCAGCUUCCAAGUCAAGUUCCCUGCUAGGAAAUUACUCCAGCUCUCUCCUACCUCAGGCUGUUUUAAACACAGCCUGGCCAGAGUAAGAAAAUAGAAUCAAACCCUUUGUUCCAUUGGCCCCACACCCCAAAUUCCCAUGGGACAGACAAGUCCCUCUCCCUGGAAGGCAGCAUCUCCUACCUGGCCUUGUGCAGUCCCCAGCCUUUGGUGGCCGCUGUCUCCAUCCUCCCACACCUCCUCCUCUUCCUCCUCGGCAGGGUUGGCUUCCUCAUCCUGCAGAGCCAGCACAGGGACAGUCACCAGCCCGCUCAUCCCCAGCCUGGGAGCAGGGACGGGCUGGUGGCACCCUCUGGAUGUCACCCCUCUGCCUGUGCCAGCCCUGCUCCGCCCCCGUUCCCGUUCCCGGCUCGGCAGCUCCUUUUAACGGGAUGUGAAACCACAAACGUUUGCUCUGCUGCGUGUUGGGACAGCAGAGACUGCCCCGAGGCAGUGGCAAAGCUCCUGUUCCCACAUCCUCUGCCUCCCACAGCCCUGCUGGGGCUGGACAGAGCAAAGGGAACUCCUCAGUUCCGGCUGGAAUUUCCCCCUCUGCCCAUAAACCCCGAGAAAUCGCGGCUGCUCCAUGCCUGGAAGUGUCCAAGGCCAGGCUGGAUGGGGCUUGGAGCAGGUGGGCUGUGGAUGGAAUGGCAGGGGAUGGAAUGAAAUGAUCCUUAAGGUCCCUUCCCAUUCAAACCAUUUGGGGAUUCUGUGAUCUCUCCAUGUAUUUAUUUUGCACCAUUUCCUCUCAAAUUUAAAUUCUCAAAUGUAGACCAUUUGUUAAAGGAAUCAUUUAAAAAUGAUCCCAGGAUUUAAAAAGGGAGCGUCAAACGAACAUGAAUCAUUCCUACACCCAUCAAAUCACUAUUAACUGGAAGCUAUUCCCUCAUCUCUGUGCUUGUUUUGCUUCCCUGGAAGACCUUAUGAUCCCAGAGUCUCUCAGAGAGAUGUACUGGGAUUACUGGAAGGUUUGCUUGGUUAGAGAGCUAAGGAGGUUUACAACACUUGUCCCUCUCUAUCUUUAUACUUUAACCAGCUUUCCCCCGGAGCAGCGUUGUGGGAGAAGUUUGGAAUUAUUAGAAAUGGAUCAGGUUCACAUUUUUUUCUCACUCUUUUCCAACUACUUCAAAAUCCUUGGAACUACUCUCAAGCAAACCCUAGCAAACUACUGUGAAAACAUCAAUCAGAGGAACAUCUUGAAAAGAGAAAACCACAUCCAGCAGCAGCCAAAACAUUCCCAUUUCUGUUCUUACCUGGUCUCCAGGUGCUCCUCCCAGAGCUCCACACAGCCGCUGCCAUUCCAUGAGGGUGAGGAGGCAGUUUUGGACGUGUUCUUUGCCGUGCAACGGGACAACGGAGUCCAGAGAGUUUUGGUCGUCCCUUCCAAGACACCCCAUGAGUCCAUGGAAAAAGAAUCUCUUUUGGAGCUAAGGCUGCUCAAUAUUUAAGGGGAAAUCAGGUUAAAACAGGUCUUUUAUCUCUGACUGUUUAUCAUGUGUAAGUUGAUAGAUGCUAGAUCAUUCUGCUGUCCUAUAUACAAAGAGAAAGGUCUCCAGUUCUCCUCCAUCCCUUCAAAACCAAACCUAGAAGUAUCCUCCACACUCCGGCAACCCAUGUGCCAGAAGCAUUUUUCCCUCAGAAGCAAAAAAAAAAAAAAAGCAAAAGGAUGCAUUUGCUGCCAGUUAUACCAAUGAUACUUGAUGAAAUCCAUGAGGUUAUUCAGUUCUAAAUGGGGACAGAAUUUGAGCAAAAUUAAUUUUCAGACAGCUGGGAAUUUUGCAGUCUGUUUGUUAUCUCCCGCAGGUAAAAUGUCUGUACUCACUUGAUUUUUUCAAUUCCCUGCUUGCACCUCCUGGUUUCAAUUCAGCUUUAGAGUUUCCCCUGGCAGUUGAGAGGCUUCUUUACUUCUAGAGGCCAAAAUGAAGGUGGAACAGGCUCAUGCCAUAUCUGUGUUACAUCAGGAGAGGGUGCUCAAAGCUGGAAAGCUAUGAGGAUCCUCUCCCUUGGCAUCUGUGCCACUCCCAGCUGUAAAACCUCAAAUCCACACUUACCACGGCCACACUGAAACUGCUCUUUCUCCCCAUACAGAUUUGCUGAGCAGCUUUUUAUAGCUCUGCAUUACUAUUAAAAAAGUAUCAUUCUAAGCUGGUACAGAAAUAAAAACAGAACUUGACUGGGGAUGGAGUGAAAGAGAUUUCUUAUAUCUACUUGUAGAGUUAAACUUCCAAAAGCACUUGAAUGUCUUUGGAGUAUAAGGAUGAGACCUUCAAGAUGUUUAUAAAUGAACAUGAUUGUUGUCCAAGGAUGCAAAAACUCUGUCACCCUUCACAGCCCCAGCAGACAAACCAACCUGUGCAAGCUCACAUGGACUUGAAUUUAAAAGGUUAAAUUUUCUUCUUGUUCCUUACACAAUUUUCUUAAUUUCUUACCAAAAAAACAGGAGUCAAGAACACAGGAUCUGGAGGCUUUAACGGGCAAUAGCUGGAAGCAGUGAGCUCUGCCUGCUGCCAAGUUUUAUUAUUGUGUUGUGCUUCUUUUCACAACAACCACCACUUCCACAGACACCAUAUUUACCAAACAUCAUCUCCUUUGAAAUUAAACACUCAUAACCCUGAAAA